AAAGUUGGUGGUGAAAUCCCAGAGCUUAACUCUGGAACUGCCAUCAAAACUUUUCAGCUAGAGUUUGAUAGAGGAAAGCAGAAUUUCUAGUGUAGAGGUGAAAUUCGUAGAUAUUAGAAAGAAUACCAAUUGCGAAGGCAGCUUUCUGGAUCAUUACUGACACUGAGGAACGAAAGCAUGGGUAGCGAAGAGGAUUAGAUACCCUCGUAGUCCAUGCCGUAAACGAUGUGUGUUAGACGUUGGAAAUUUAUUUUCAGUGUCGCAGCGAAAGCGAUAAACACACCGCCUGGGGAGUACGACCGCAAGGUUAAAACUCAAAUGAAUUGACGGGGACCCGCACAAGUAGUGGAGCAUGUGGUUUAAUUCGAAGAUACGCGCAGAACCUUACCAACACUUGACAUGUUCGUCGCGACUUUAAGAGAUUAAAGUUUUCGGUUCGGCCGGACGAAACACAGGUGCUGCAUGGCUGUCGUCAGCUCGUGUCGUGAGAUGUUGGGUUAAGUCCCGCAACGAGCGCAACCCUCACUUUUAGUUGCCAUCAUUUAGUUGGGCACUCUGAAAGAACUGCCAGUGAUAAGCUGGAGGAAGGUGGGGAUGACGUCAAGUCCUCAUGGCCCUUACGUGUUGGGCUACACACGUGCUACAAUGGUAUUUACAACAGGAAGCAAAACGGCGACGUUAAGCAAAUCCUAAAAAAAUACCUCAGUUCGGAUUGCACUCUGCAACUCGAGUGCAUGAAGCUGGAAUUACUAGUAAUCGUGGAUCAGCGUGCCACGGUGAAUGCGUUCCCGGGUCUUGUACACACCGCCCGUCACACCAUGGGAGUUGGUUCUACCUUAAGGCAAGGUUUAAAACCCUUGACCACGGUAUAGUCAGCGACUGGGGUGAAGU
rnacentral:rRNA from 1 species